CAGAUUGCCCUCCCUGGUAUGAGCUGGCCUCACCCAAUUCAUUGAAGGCCUGAAUAGAAUAAAAGUCUCAGUAAGAGAGAAUUCAUUCUCUGCCUGUCUUCAAGCUGGGACAUCAACUUUCUCCUGUCUUCAUGCUCAUAUUCUGGCUGAAAAUUAUACCAUAAGCUCUCCUGGUUCUCAGGCCUUCGAACUCAGACUGAAACUACAGUCGGCUGUCCUGGGUCUCCAGCUUGCCAAACACAGACCAUGCGGCUUCUCACCCUUCAUAAGCUUAAAAGACUGCUGUUUGAGAAAACAGGAUUUAUAAAACACGGAAAAUUUUGAAAAAGAGCUGGAAGCCAAACAUGCCAUUGUUAGGAGCUAAGAAAAGAAGGAUCAUUUUAGGAGUCAAGAAAUGAAAGAUAAUCUUAGGAAUCAUCGGAAUAUGAAGAUUAUCUUAGACUUACAAAAAGGCCAAGCUAAAGAUGUUAGCAAAGAAAAAAAAGCUUUGAUGGUUUCUCCACAUGUCAACAAAGUGUUUUCAGUGCCUACUUGAUACCCAGUGGAGGACAAGCAUCUUACCAAAUUUAGCUCUUCAUUCUGUCUUACUGCUUCAGAAUAUGAAUCAUCAAGUUUUUUCUGCAAUUCAGUCAACAGAUCUUUCAGCUGCAAUGAAGUUUAGAGUUUAAGAUUGAUCUCCUUAUGAUAGCCCAUGUUUUGUAUGCUACUCGGAAGCUCUGCCACAAACAACUUAUACUGAAAUAUCACUGUUAUAAACAAUCUGAAUUGUGAAGCAAGUUUGAAAAGAUUCUGUUGUAAGUACCUCUCUGACUUCUGUAACAUAGGUAGAUCGUUCCAUCUCUGCCUUCUCUAGUUCCAUUUCCAAAUGUUCUCGUUCUCUUCUCAGCUAGCAAUUCAACAAAGGAAAAGUUAACACACUUAAAAUUUCCUUUCAUAAUAUUUCCCCACAAGGCAAAGUUAUGACACUUAUGAAUAUAAAACUAUAUCAACUCAAACACUACCCAAGAUAUUAAGAGCAUAACUAUAAAGUAAUCUUAAACCAUACAUCUUCAGACAACCAUUAAUGCUAAAAACAAAUCUAUAGGUUACAAGUAAAACAAUCAAAUAACAUACAUUUUCAAUAUCCUUAUUUUCUCUUCUUAAUCGCUCUAGCUCUUGUUCUGAAGAUGUAAAUGAUGACUGCAUCUGAAAUGUGAAACAAUUAUAUGGCCAAGUAAACCACCAAGGAUAUAGCGGUUUCUAUCCUGUAGAAUUCUGAAUCAAUUAAAAGACACUUCCAAGGUUUUGAAAUGCAUCUCAUUUAAAGUCUUACUGAAUUUUAAAAGACCUUAAACAUGAGAGUCACAUUGAACUUAAUUUAAAUUGUGGUCAAAACCUACUCCAGUUGUAUAUUAGGCUCAGCUAAAAGUGAUUAAUUUUUGAUUAGUAUUAACUGAUAUUCAGCUGUAUUUAUUCUGCAAGUGCAUUAAAGUAGAGUACUAUCAGCAACUGUAAAUUCUGCACGUUGGUCC